rnacentral:rRNA from 1 species
GCACUGGCUAACUCUGUGCCAGCAGCCGCGGUAAUACAGAGAGUGCAAGCGUUAAUCGGAAUCACUGGGCGUAAAGCGCGCGUAGGUGGAUAUUUAAGUCGGAUGUGAAAGCCCUAGGCUUAACCUAGGAACUGCACUCGAUACUGAGUAUCUCGAGUAUGGUAGAGGGAAGUGGAAUUUCCGGUGUAGCGGUGAAAUGCUUACAUAUCGGACAGAACACCACUGGCCAAAGCAGCUUCCUGGCUAACUACUGACACUGAAGUGCGAAAGCGUGGGAAGCUAAUGUGAGGAGAUACCCUGCC